UUUUUAAUGGUUGACCUCGGAUCAGGUAGGAAUACCCGCUGAACUUAAGCAUAUCAAUAAGGCGGCAGGAAGAA
rnacentral:rRNA from 1 species